CACAACACAAACAUUU
rnacentral:sRNA from 1 species